rnacentral:rRNA from 1 species
AUUGAACGCUGGCGGCAUGCCUUACACAUGCAAGUCGAACGGCAGCACGGGAGCAAUCCUGGUGGCGAGUGGCGAACGGGUGAGUAAUAUAUCGGAACGUGCCCAGUCGUGGGGGAUAACGUAGCGAAAGCUACGCUAAUACCGCAUACGAUCUACGGAUGAAAGCGGGGGAUCGCAAGACCUCGCGCGAUUGGAGCGGCCGAUAUCAGAUUAGGUAGUUGGUGAGGUAAAGGCUCACCAAGCCGACGAUCUGUAGCUGGUCUGAGAGGACGACCAGCCACACUGGGACUGAGACACGGCCCAGACUCCUACGGAGGCAGCAGUGGGGAAUUUUGGACAAUGGGCGCAAGGCCUGAUCCAGCAAUGCCGCGUGCCAGGGAUGAAGGCCUU